rnacentral:rRNA from 1 species
UGCCAGCCGCCGCGGUAAUACGAAGGGGGCUAGCGUUGUUCGGAAUCACUGGGCGUAAAGGGCGCGCAGGCGGUCUUGUCCGUCAGGUGUGAAAGCUCGGGGCUCAACCCCGGAAGUGCACUUGAAACAGCAAGACUUGAAUACGGUAGAGGAGAGAGGAAUUCCUGGUGUAGAGGUGAAAUUCGUAGAUAUCAGGAGGAACACCGAUGGCGAAGGCGGCUUUCUGGACCGAUACUGACGCUGAGACGCGAAAGCGUGGGGAGCAAACAGGAUUAGAUA